AUGGAGGAGUACAACCGAUACGUGAGGAUCGCAAACGGCGACCCUGUGAAGCUAGCUAGGAUGUUGGAGAUACAGUCUUGGUUUGACAACAAGGACCAACUAGCGGCGACGGCGACAUCCAUGGCCAAAUAUCUGCAACAGAGCGAAAAGGCGGCGAUACUCCUGGAGGGAGUCGCGCCGGAGUACAUAGAGCUGCUCCUCUGGGCCAUGGAGCAAACAGAUUCAUCGAAUCCGAUCAUGAGGGAGCGGUGAAGGAAAACACACGGUUCUGCUAGAUAUGUUGGAAGUGCUGCUCCAGGAUUAGGGUUCUACCACAUAGACCCACCUGAUGAAAAUGCUCAGUAUCAUGGCUCCCUGAAGAAUGUGAGGAUUGUUCUGGUAGAAGCUGGUGAAGUGACCAAGCAGGAACUUGCCACUGAGUUUGCAGACAUUUACAAAACCAACUGGCCCUGGCCAAUCAAUGCCCUAGAUGAGUGGACAUUCUUGGUCAAACUCCCUCCUGAAAUAGAUGUAGUUCAAGUUGCUGGAUACCCUUGUUUUGGUCUCAAAGAAGACAAUGUUGUAGUCAGUGUUGAAGUCUGGAAAGGCAGGAUUGAGGCUGAAGAGGACCUCCAGGAAACUUGGAUCAAGAUAGGGAAAUUGAACCCCCAAGUGGUGGUCAAAAUCUUAUGUAAAGAUCCCUCCAAAAUCCCUGCUGAAAGGCUUUUUGGAGUUGGGAACAAAAUCUACAGGCUAUUCAUUGAGGUGGAGUCCUUAACCCCCACUGAAACUGGCACCUCCACCAACCUCUCUGCUGGUACAUAUGUCUCUGCAGCUGAAACUGGUACCAAUCUUACUGAAGAUGCUGAAUCCAACAGGAGCUCUAGAUCUAAAUCAGAUAAAGGGCCUGCUGCCAAUUUUGGGGCCCCUAACAUCAGAGGACAGUCUUUUGGCCACAAUCAGAUGCUUGGAGAAACUACACCCACUUUAGUCCUCAAGACACACCUCCCUGAUUCUCCAUACACUCCUCAACUCAGCAUCCAGGAAAAGAUUUUGAAUUAUGUGCUUGAUGAAACUAAUGGAUUCAACCUCCUCAGGGAAAUGGAGCUCCUGGAAGAUGAUGAUCUGAUGGAAUUAGAAGGUUCUGUAGAUCUACAAGAGGAUCAAGAGGCACUUGUUGAAACAACUGAACUCCUAGACAAUUUAGACUCAAAAUACAACUCCGACUUCCCUGCCCUUCCUAAGGAGAAGCACCUUCCCAAAUGGGGUCCUGUUCAAGCCACCAGAACCAGUGCCAAGGUAGUGGUGACAAGAGAACCAUUAUUGAAAAGGCUCAACAGCUCAAAGAGGUUCAGAACCUGGAAGUGA
rnacentral:rRNA from 1 species